rnacentral:tRNA from 1 species
GAAAGUCGGAGGUUAGACUCCCCCCUACUGC